rnacentral:rRNA from 1 species
CCUACGGGAGGCUGCAGUGGGGAAUAUUGCACAAUGGGGGAAACCCUGAUGCAGCGACGCCGCGUGAGUGAAGAAGUAUUUCGGUAUGUAAAGCUCUAUCAGCAGGGAAGAAACCCACCCUCCGGGGUGGCUGACGGUACCUGACUAAGAAGCCCCGGCUAACUACGUGCCAGCAGCCGCGGUAAUACGUAGGGGGCAAGCGUUAUCCGGAUUUACUGGGUGGAAAGGGAGCGUAGGUGGGCAGGCAAGUCAGAUGUGAAAACCCGGGGCCCAACCCCGGGAGUGCAUUUGAAACUGUCUGGCUAGAGUGCAGGAGAGGUAAGUGGAAUUCCUAGUGUAGCGGUGGAAUGCGUAGAGAUUAGGAAGAACACCAGUGGCGAAGGCGAUAUGCUGGACUAUAACUGACACUGAGGCGCGAAAGCGUGGGGAGCAAACAGGAUUAGAUACCCGAGUAGUC